CCAUACCAGAACCAGCGUGUGCACUACCUAACUAGAGCUCGUGUCUGGAACAGUUUUUCACCAAAACGUGUUCAAACGUUGCCGGGAAAACAUCGUAUUUUCAAGGAAUCUGCAAUAGUUUGUUUGAUAACACAAGUUAUUAGUGUGCAAAGCAAUAUUCAGUGAGCAGUGACUUUUGUUCAAUUCUUCAUAAACAUCGCUAACAUAACUGAAGUGCAAAGCCAACUAAACCAUACAUAGCUAAUUAUUACCGUACAGAAAUUAUUUUUGGCAAAAAAAAGAGCAUAAACGCUUUAAGAUAUGUAAACAAUCCAAAAAUAAGAAUGCAUUUGUUGGACAACAUAUUCAUCGAUCUCCAUAUGAUUUGCUAAAAUCAUCAAAAACCGCCUGUAUCGCAUUGGAAAAAAAAUCACACCCGUCCCGUACUACAAGUCGUAGGGAGUAUUACAGAUCAAAACUGAAAGCUGCAUUUCAAUCAUAUAAACACAAAUAUUCAAAAGGCUGGUAACCAUCUGUUCGGAAUCCGUAACAUAAAGAUAUAAUAGCAUAAGUACAUGUCAUAGACAUGUUGUAAAUUAGUAACAUAUCAGUGUCAACAACUCCAAAUGUAUAUGUAACGCUUUGAUUUAGCAUAGAAUUCAAUCAUUUAAAGAUACGAAUAAAUUCCCAUUUAUUCCAUCUGAUCCUAUUCAUGAAACAUGUAUGUGUAUCUCUUAAAUGUUAUCAAAACAAAAAUGUGUCUAUUGCAAAGAAUAUUAUUAACUAUUAAUAGUCAAAACUAAGACAGUUUAAUCCAAAGAUAUAACUGUUAUCAUUCGAUCGAUAAAACAUGACCUUUUGACGAGAAUGCUUACACGUCGCACGACAAUGACAUCAGAAAAGAUUUUUAGAUAAAUGUAAAGAAAGGUACGUAAACAAAUGAAAGGAGGAAAUGUUUGUCCAAGUAUUUACACCUAGAAUCUGUGCAAAUGUUUCACAAUUUUUCCCACAACCUAUCAAAUCUAACAUUAUUGCACAGGAAAAUCUUGAGUUGGUUCUGUAUUAUCCGUAGGAAAGAUCCCUGAAUGUUGAGACUGAUAAAUCGAAUUGGCAGCAAUAGCACGGCAGAACCUGUUUCUUCAACGAGAAUGUGCGGGAGGUAUGGACGAAUCGAUGAACAAAUUAAGAACUGUAUAUAAGCAUCUAUGACGUUUCGUCGGGACUGGAAGCAUAGGAAAAUUUGUUGCGUUUUUGAUGCUGGUUCAAGCUAACCCGUGCUACUCGCCUACCAUUGAUAACGUCUAUGGUCGAAUCAUGAAAACAGUUUCGCUCGGUUUCAUCAAUUGGACCAUUUUGUUUCGGUUGAUAUCGUACGUUCUUCUUUUUUUUUAAAUUUCGAAAACGUUGUUGUCUGGACACAUCUGGCUACAUCAGAUAAUCGCAGUAGCCCUGCAGCUGAUCUGACAUAAUAAUCUUUUUUCUAUAAAUCGACACACCAACCUUUAAAACUAUAGUUUACCUACGUAUGUAAAAUAUAAAUUUCAAAAGACACUUUCUUUUGUAGCCUAAAUUAAAGGAUUAAAGGCUAAACCAGGAACAAUCAUUUUACUUACAGUAUUACCAGUUAAAAAAAAAACAAUUGAACCGCAAAC